CAUUUUCUUGGGUGUUUGAUUCACUGUCACGGAGUAUUCUGUUUAAAACACAGCUCCACAGACAGCAGAAACGACUUGUGCUUGGUUUCCUGUGGCUGCCUGCUGCGUGCUUCCUCAUGUGUCUACUGAUUUGGUUCAUCUCUGAAGGAAGCCUUCCUCAGCAGAGUACUAAUUUGGGUUGGUUUCCUCUAGUCUGGUUACAUUCAUUCAUGGUAAUUGUAAGAAUACAGUACCUCUAUGAGCUCUGCCUCUAAGCUGAACUUGACGGAAGGUGGCAACAGCAGGAUUGACAGGCAGUAAUAUCAUGUAAUUCCUGCUUCCUUAGGAAACCCGGCUGAAAUGAAUACCAAACUGCAUCAGUCAAGCACUUGAUAGAUGGAAUAAGAACUGGCUAACGGACCACACAAAAGAAGUUCCUGGAAAAUCAGGCUUUCUGCAGCUCAGGGUGCAGAGCAGUGCUUAUUCAACAGCUUCCCUGAAGUUCUGGAGGCAAAUAAAACUACUUCCAGGUGAACUGGUGCCAUGCGGCUGUCAGAUCGCUGCCAGCUCCGGCAGCAGCAUGGGGAGCCUGUGACAGCCAGGUCUGAACCCUCACUGCUGGACCACUGCUAGUGACCAGGAUCAGAGCAGGGCAUGAGUUUGAGAGAGGAGAUGGAGACUGCAGAAUAAGCUCAUUUCAUGUCAGCGUGGCAAUGUCUCAGUCAUCCCACUCACUGCUGUCACCUGAGGACAUCUACCCGAGAGCUCUGCCAGCUCAACUGCUUCCAGGGAUGCUCUGGGUGAGGUUCUGGGAUGCUCAGUGUGUGGAUGUGCCGCACUUUUUGAUUCCACUCCUUCUACAACCUCUUUGCAGAGGUCAAGCACACUAUCACACUAAGAAAAUAACAUGCACCAGCAGCAUAGCAGAGACACUGUCUGGGAACAGACACCGUGGACGGUGGCUUUGAGACAAGCCUGUCUAUAGCUCAUUAUCUGAUUGCAAUGAACGUGGGCAGCAGAGCACUGAGACACUCUACAGCUCCCUCACCAACUCCCGGCACCCAGAACACUUGACUCAGGUCUCAGAAAACAUUAUGCUGUCCAAAAAUAAUGAGAUUUUAAAAAUUAAUAAACUCCAGCUCUGUUUA